rnacentral:ncRNA from 2 species
UUUUCCGAGGAGCGUUGCAACCUCACCCGCUUGAGGCCAGGCUCGGAAAACCACACCCCCUUGCAACCGCGCUCACCCGCA